CACUCUAGAGAGACUGCCAGGGAUAACCUGGAGGAAGGUGGGGAUGACGUCAAAUCAUCAUGCCCCUUAUGCUUAGGGCUACACACGUGCUACAAUGGGUAGUACAGAGGGUUGCCAAGCCGUAAGGCGGAGCUAAUCCCUUAAAGCUACUCUCAGUUCGGAUUGUAGGCUGAAACUCGCCUACAUGAAGCUGGAGUUACUAGUAAUCGCAGAUCAGAAUGCUGCGGUGAAUGCGUUCCCGGGUCUUGUACACACCGCCCGUCACACCACGGGCGUUGGAGACGCCCGAAGCCGAUUAUCUAACCUGUUGGAAGAAGUCGUCGAAGGUGGAAUCAAUAACUGGGGUGAAGUCGUAACAAGGUAGCCGUAUCGGAAGGCGCGUAU
rnacentral:rRNA from 1 species